rnacentral:rRNA from 1 species
CCUACGGGAGGCAGCAGUGAGGAAUAUUGGUCAAUGGGCGCGAGCCUGAACCAGCCAAGUCGCGUGAGGGAGGACGGCCCUACGGGUUGUAAACCUCUUUUGCCGGGGAGCAACGGGCGCCACGUGUGGCGUCACUGAGAGUACCCGGAGAAACAGCAUCGGCUAACUCCGUGCCAGCAGCCGCGGUAAUACGGAGGAUGCGAGCGUUAGCCGGAUUUUUUGGGUUUAAGGGGUGCGUAGGCGGAUUGUAAAGUCAGUGGUCAAAUUGAGGGGCUCAACCCCUUCCCGCCAUUGAAACUGGCGUUCUUGAGUGGGCGAGAAGUAGGCGGAAUGCGUGGUGUAGCGGUGAAAUGCAUAGAUAUCACGCAGAACCCCGAUUGCGAAGGCAGCAUGCCGGCUUCCGACUGACGCUGAAGCACGAAAGCGUGGGGAUCGAACAGGAUUAGAUACCCUUGUAGUC